rnacentral:tRNA from 1 species
GCCCCUGUAGGCCAGUUGGAUAGACCAGCGGUUUCCUAAACCGUGCGCCCGGGUUCGAGUCCCGGCAGGGGCACCA